UAAAUGGUGUCGAGCCCCGCGAACCCGCGACCCCGUCCACCCGCGAGACAGGUGGAAACAACGGUGGAUCUCGGCGUUCCUCUCGGUUCAGCGAUCUGCAUGAAGAUAGGGCCUCCUAAGAAUGAGACGGACCGAUCAUGACGGCCACGUCGCGCGGCAGGGCCCGCCGCCCUUCCGGGUACUGGCCGACAACAUGUACCUGUCGCCCUCCGCGGCGGCGCCGCCACCCCCGCGCGCGCCCGAACCCUAUAAGGUCG